rnacentral:rRNA from 1 species
GAUGAACGCUGGCGGCGUGCCUAAUACAUGCAAGUCGAGCGAACGGACGAGAAGCUUGCUUCUCUGAUGUUAGCGGCGGACGGGUGAGUAACACGUGGAUAACCUACCUAUAAGACUGGGAUAACUUCGGGAAACCGGAGCUAAUACCGGAGAAUAUUUUGAACCGCAUGCUUCCAAAGUGAAAGACGGUCUUGCUGUCACUUAUAGAUGGAUCCGCGCUGCAUUAGCUAGUUGGUAAGGUAACGGCUUACCAAGGCAACGAUGCAUAGCCGACCUGAGAGGGUGAUCGGCCACACUGGAACUGAGACACGGUCCAGACUCCUACGGGAGGCAGCAGUAGGGAAUCUUCCGCAAUGGGCGAAAGCCUGACGGAGCAACGCCGCGUGAGUGAUGAAGGUCUUCGGAUCGUAAAACUCUGUUAUUAGGGAAGAACAUAUGUGUAAGUAACUGUGCACAUCUUGACGGUACCUAAUCAGAAAGCCACGGCUAACUACGUG